UACGGUGAUCCUAGAAACCAACAAAAUAGGAUCGAACGUCCUAUUUCAUUAUUCCAUGCUAAUGUAUUCAGGCGUUAGCCUGCUUUAAACACUCUAAUUUUUUCAAAGUAACAGUCCAAAUUCCCCGCAACACCAAAUAAAUGGCAUUACGGAUCAUCAGGAAGGAGGAAUCAGUGAGACCAGUACAUACCAGUGGCAUGACCAACC
rnacentral:misc_RNA from 1 species